CGGUGCUGUAUUCUGCCGCCCAUUUUACCCGCGGGGAAGCUGAGGCCCAGUGCUGUUUAAUAUCUUACUCAUGUUCACUUGAUGAGAAAGUGACAGAUCUGAGACAAACCCAGAUCGACAGAAAAGAAAUGAGUCAACGAUGGUGCAGGUGAUCUGUGCAGUGCUGUGCAGGGGAUGGGUCAAAGCUGUGAUGCUGGCAUGCAACUAACUCACCAUUAAAGGGACCAGCUUGACGAAGCUUCUGCUUUUGUGACUGUCUCCUAAUGGGAGAAGUGAAAUUCUACCUCACUUUUUUAAAAGAAGAGCCUGGAAUUGGCCUAUCCGUCUUUUUCCCCGUUGGAUCACAGAGCAGAAAGGAAGCUAAGACCUCUAGUACAGUGUUCAAUGGAACUGGUGAGAAAAGACGUCCUUGCUGUGUUCCUGAUAUGAAGAGGAAAGCAGUCCUUCUCCAUUAAAUGCUGACAACAUGAGCCUCCCGUGGUCGGAACGGGCUUGUGAAGGCGGUGCUGGGGUGCACCAGGGCAGCAGCUACAG
rnacentral:lncRNA from 10 species